rnacentral:rRNA from 1 species
UACGAAGGGUGCAAGCGUUACUCGGAAUUACUGGGCGUAAAGCGUGCGUAGGCGGUUUGUUAAGUCCGCUGUGAAAGCCCUGGGCUCAACCUGGGAAUUGCAGUGGAUACUGGCAAGCUAGAGUGCGGUAGAGGAUGGUGGAAUUCCCGGUGUAGCGGUGAAAUGCGUAGAGAUCGGGAGGAACACCUGUGGCGAAGGCGGCCCCCUGGUUGGAUACUGACGCUGAUACGCGAAAGCGUGGGGAGC